CCCUGAGAUGGGGAACGAUAAAAAAACGGACGAACACAACAAAAUGUGUUGUGUUCGUCCGUUUUUUUAUCGUUCCCCAUCUCAGGGUUU
rnacentral:pre_miRNA from 1 species